GACGAACGCUGGCGGCGUGCCUAAUACAUGCAAGUAGAACGCACAGUUUAUACCGUAGCUUGCUACACCAUAGACUGUGAGUUGCGAACGGGUGAGUAACGCGUAGGUAACCUGCCUGGUAGCGGGGGAUAACUAUUGGAAACGAUAGCUAAUACCGCAUAAUAUUAAUUAUUGCAUGAUAAUUAAUUGAAAUGUGCAAUUGCACCACUACCAGAUGGACCUGCGUUGUAUUAGCUAGUAGGUGAGGUAACGGCUCACCUAGGCGACGAUACAUAGCAGACCUGAGAGGGGGAUCGGCCAAACUGGGAAUGAGACAAGGCCCAGACUACUACGGGAGGCAGCAGUAGGGAAUCUUCGGAAAUGGACGAAAGUCUGACCGAGCAACGCCGCGUGAGUGAAGAAGGUUUUCGGAUCGUAAAGCUCCGUUGUAAGAGAAGAACGGGUGUGAGAGUGGAAAGUUCACACUGUGACGGUAUCUUACCAGAAAGGGACGGCUAACUACGUG
rnacentral:rRNA from 1 species